AUACUACCAUACCAAAGACCUCGUUCUCAUCACUAAAUUCUCCACUGUGAAGCUUUUGUCGUUUAAAUAUGCAAGUUUCUUGUUUUCCAGGUUGCCCAUAGCACUGCAUACGGCACCAGUUGCCACACCAUUGAUCCCCACCGAUUAGAUAAGCUUACUUUUGGCUGCCUCUUCAAACAUUCUUCAAUGUUCUGCACCUCAUUCCUCUUUAUACUGUGGUCGCCUGUAGUUCUGCCAAGCUAGAAAUAAAUGC
rnacentral:lncRNA from 1 species